rnacentral:snRNA from 1 species
GUUUGCACAGUACGUGCACUAAAAUUGAAACGAUAGAGAGAAGAUCAGCAUGGUCUCUGUGCAAGUAUGGUACGCAAAAUCGUGAAGUGUUCCACAUUAAA